CACCCCCACCAGCAAUUAUACAGUAGGAAUGGCUGAAGUUAGGGUUUAUCUUUUCACAUUUUACUGUACAGUUACGUUGGUUUUACCAUCCUGUUAAAGCUUCUCGUGUGCUUUAGUCUGAUAGAGGUGCAUCAUGACAUAAAGCAACUUCAACAGCUGAUUUACAAUCGUGUCCAUAAACUCAACUCAGACUAUAUCGCUGUGGUUUUCAUGAAUAUGUUGUAAAAUUAAGAUAUUUCUGUUAAUCAAAACCAAAUAUUGUUAUUUUAUAAUUGCUUAUAUGGAAACAUGUAAAAAAACAAAACUAAGUUCAUUAUUCAGUUUGUAUUCUAAAAAGCUAUUAGGGCCAUGCCCAUAGCCAGCAGUGAGAUCACAAAAUGUUAGAGCUAAAAAGGAUUUGGAAACUAAAUACACCCACCCCCCCCCCCCCCCCCGCCUGAUACACACUGGGUAUUUCGCACACUGGACACUGGCCCACCAGUCCCACAUCACAUUCACACCCUUUCAUAUGUACAAAAAACGAUUCAGAAAACAGUGCUUAAAAUGUUGAUAAACCGCAGCUAAACUAUUGAAUAAACUUUAAAGUUAAAAGCACCAUAGGAGUCAGCUUAGUUAGCAUUAGCAUGGCUAGCGGUAGUCACUAAGAAUCAGGAUGGAGUUGCCUUCUCACUUUAUGACACAGUGAGUCAGCAUCGCCAUCAUCAGCCUACUGUUUCAUGUCCUGGGAUUGGCACCUAGCGUUAGCAUUGUCCCAAAGGCUAAGACAGCUUCGGCUGGUCACUGGUCGCUGCAUCUGUGUGUGUUCCAACAUUUACUGUCCGUUUUGGAACAGUGCCUUUAUCUGUUGAGAUCUGAGCAGAAAAGGAUUGUGGGGAUUUUCCCUGAGGAUUCGUGA